ACACCAUGUAGGGGAGCAGGUGCCUUAAAGUCUGGCUUCGCCCCCAAAAGGGCAAACAGGCUGCCAGUUUCUCCGGUGGUGUAAAUCAUAGUUGAUGGAGUCACACUGAUUUACACCUGGCUUCUUCUCAAUGGAGGAAAUCCCUGCUGCUCGCAGAUUUCCCACAUGUACCUAUGCACUGCCUAAGGCCACCUCUGCUUUCAUUUACUCUUGCUGUGUCAUCCUGAGUUUGAUGUACUAAGACGAGGCCGGGGAAGGAUGAGCCAGAGAAGUGGAGCACCAACCCUUGCGUGUCUUUCUCCAGCAGAGAAAGAGAAGUGGAAUGAAACCCUGGCUUCCUACUGCCUCAUCUGAGCUACUGAGACUUUAUAAAGAGUGCAAGAUUCUCUGUCAGUUGUGAAGUGCUGCCCACUGAUGGGAGAGAUGUCACCUUGCACCGCUGCAUGCAGGGUGGAGAGAGCUCCUGCUGCUGUCUGUCCCCCACCACCUUGCACAGAGGUGAUGAUUCCACCACUUGGCGAGAAACUCAGCAGUAUCCACUCCAGGCUGCCUCUGAGGGUGCCCCCAUGCCACAAAGCUGAUUCCAGGAGAAAGAAGAGCCACAGUGUUUUAAACUCAGAGGUAUGAGGCAGAGAAGAUCUUCAUCCUCUCUUCGGCCACACCACUGGCCCUUGUCUCCCUCCUCAGUAUUUAGGAGUGCCUCCUCCCUCCCCCUGGGAGACAUCACCCCUCACUCAGCUUAAAUCUGCCUCUGGACACUGGUUUGUAAAACAUGCUACAUUUUCAGUGCCCUGUAACUCCUCUCCCCAUCUCUGCAUUGUACUGAGGCCAUGGCACAAUUUCCUCCAGUGUGAGCAUUAUGUUUCUUAGUUUUAUGAUUAAUAUUGAAUCUGUAAAUUGGAUUCCUUGCUGUCUCCUCUCCUCCUGCAAUAACCUAGAACAUUAGGUUUACAUUCCUCUGGCCAACAAGUGCAG